GACACAAAUCGGAUUGAGGUAUAAAUGUUUCCACUUAUUUAGUGUGCUCAAUUGAUUAUUGCUUUGAAUGCAUUGUGGUUCGGAACAUGAUAUAGUGCAUUACACUGAUUUAGUACAUAUUUGAUUGACAGUGAGAGAUAUAUGUUUUGGAAUCAGGCAGAAUCCCUUUAACCACGGAGACUAUUUUUGACAAGUGAAUGAAAAGGGAAAUAGUUAUUGGGAAAAGAAUUGCCACCAAAUUUUGGGACUGAGAAAGCUAUUCGUGCCAAGUAUGAGGAAAGACUGGGUUGCGAAGAAUGCAAAACAACCAGCUCCUAAACCAGUAGAUAUGAGCAUCAGUUCCAAUAGUUUGGUAAAGGAUAGAGCCACAUGUGGAGCUCCAAAGGAAACAAGGAGACAUUCUCUUGAGGAAGCGAUGCUUUUUACGGUGGCGGAAGCUGCUCCUCCAGUGGCAAGAUCCCGUGGGGUAGAUUUUAACUAGAUCUCUCAUUCACAGUUGCAAAAUAAUGGUCAGUUGGUGCGACGAUAUUGACUUCACUAAUGGACAUGAAAAUGAGACAUGGUAUAGUAAAGAUUUACUUUUCAGCAUCUGACAACACUGAUAUAGCAUUUGGUGUAUACUUUGCUUUUGAAUCCCAAUCGGAAUUAUGCCCCUCUCAGUACUGAGGAUCCUGGAAAUUCCAGUCGGGUUGCACUUACUCUUGGUCUACCCCCAACAUUGGUCUUUAAAUGUGGAAGAGGAAGCGCGUCCAUCCCACCCACCAAAAAAUGGUUAGAGCCUUAGAGGUGAAUGGUGUUCUUUUCUUUAGACAAGUUUUUGGAAACAAUAUUAUUUGAAUUUUUUAUAUUUUAACAAGCAAGUGAAGUCAAGUCUUAGUGAUUUUGAUGCAUAUUUUAUUAGUGAUUUUGAUGCCACCAACCUUAUCUCAGUGUAUCACUUUUGACAUUUUAUUCAGCUUCCUUUGGUAA